rnacentral:rRNA from 1 species
AACGAACGCUGGCGGCGUGUUUAAGACAUGCAAGUCGCACGGGACUAUUUGAGUAGCAAUACAAGAAUAGUCUAGUGGCGCACGGGUGAGUAACACGUGAAUUACAUGCCCUGCAGAGGGGGAUAGCCCAGGGAAACUUGGAUUAAUACCCCAUGGUAUCGCGAGAUUAAAGGUGGCCGCAAGGCUGUCGCUGCAGGAUUGGUUCGCGCCCUAUCAGCUUGUUGGUGAGGUAACGGCUCACCAAGGCUACGACGGGUACCUGGUCUGAGAGGACGAUCAGGCACACUGGAACUGAGACACGGUCCAGACACCUACGGGUGGCAGCAGUCGAGAAUGAUUCACAAUGGGGGCAACACUGAUGGUGCAACGCCGCGUGGAGGAUGAAGGUCUUCGGAUUGUAAACUCCUGUCAUCCGGGAGUAAGACCUGGCGAUGAAUAGUCGACAGGGUUGAUAGUACCGGAAGAGGAAGGGACGGCUAACUUCGUGCCAGCAGCCGCAGUAA